CGCGGCCUAUCAGCUUGUUGGUGAGGUAAUGGCUCACCAAGGCGACGACGGGUAGCCGGCCUGAGAGGGCGACCGGCCACACUGGGACUGAGACACGGCCCAGACUCCUACGGGAGGCAGCAGUGGGGAAUAUUGCACAAUGGGCGAAAGCCUGAUGCAGCGACGCCGCGUGAGGGAUGACGGCCUUCGGGUUGUAAACCUCUUUCAGCAGGGAAGGAGCGAAAGUGACGGUACCUGCAGAAGAAGCGCCGGCUAACUACGUGCCAGCAGCCGCGGUAAUACGUAGGGCGCAAGCGUUGUCCGGAAUUAUUGGGCGUAAAGAGCUCGUAGGCGGCUUGUCACGUCGGGUGUGAAAGCCCGGGGCUUAACCCCGGGUCUGCAUUCGAUACGGGCAGGCUAGAGUGUGGUAGGGGAGAUCGGAAUUCCUGGUGUAGCGGUGAAAUGCGCAGAUAUCAGGAGGAACACCGGUGGCGAAGGCGGAUCUCUGGGCCAUUACUGACGCUGAGGAGCGAAAGCGUGGGGAGCGAACAGGAUUAGAUACCCUGGUAGUCCACGCCGUAAACGGUGGGAACUAGGUGUUGGCGACAUUCCACGUCGUCGGUGCCGCAGCUAACGCAUUAAGUUCCCCGCCUGGGGAGUACGG
rnacentral:rRNA from 1 species